AGGGAAUAUUGCGCAAUGGACGGAAGUCUGACGCAGCGACGCCGCGUGAGCGAUGAAGGUCUUCGGAUCGUAAAGCUCUGUCCUUGGGGAAGAAGGCGAAAGCUUGACGGUACCCAAGAAGAAAGCCCCGGCUAACUACGUGCCAGCAGCCGCGGUAAUACGUAGGGGGCGAGCGUUGUCCGGAAUUACUGGGCGUAAAGGGUGCGUAGGCGGCCCUUUAAGUCGGAUGUGAAAGCCCGCGGCUUAACCGCGGAAUGGCAUUCGAAACUGGAGGGCUUGAGUGUCGGAGAGGGUAGUGGAAUUCCCAGUGUAGCGGUGAAAUGCGUAGAUAUUGGGAGGAACACCAGUGGCGAAGGCGACUACCUGGACGAUAACUGACGCUGAGGCACGAAAGCUAGGGGAGCAGAC
rnacentral:rRNA from 1 species